AGGAAAACUAGAUGGCGCUGCCGUUCCUCUGGAUUGAGUAUGCUAGUUACGUGGAAGCAUGAAUUUCAUGGAUGGUUCAAGUUAAAUCAGUGUUAGCAGUGUUUCUUAAGUUUGCUGUGUUUUAAAGGAUUGUCCGUCUUAAAAUCAACGCCAACAGACUUUCCUUUGUUAUCAGCUAAUCGAACUGCAGACCCUGAGAAUACCUACCAUCAAAUGGAAUAGCAUGAUUAUUUAUACAAUGAUCAUUUCCAUGAAGCCAAAUGCCUGUGGGUUCUGACGCUGAAGAUCUACAAUGACCAAAAUUCCUUAGAAUGUCUUCAUGUAUUCAUCUACUAUGUUUUGCUGUCUGUUAACCAACACCAACCCAUUCAGCCAGUAUUCGCAGCUUGUCAACUUAGCCAACAAUCAACCAUCAGUAUUGAAUGCAUCCACUCCUAACACCUUCACUACUCAAACAACUAUCUUCUGUAGACUUCAACACCCGAUCAAGAUCUUUUUAAAACUUUGUCAUCGGAUCCCAUUUCGACCAGUGCAGCAGUCUCCGUGAUCGUAACCGGUCAACAUGCAUAGACUUAAAUGCCGUCGCCUCAUUGUGAGCUGCCAAUUAUUCAUCAUCGUUUCCAACCAAAAAUCGCCGUUCUAAUACAAAUCAUCCAGCCAUGAGUCGCUACAGAAUUUACCACGUGACGUCUGCUUUGACUGAUACAUGGCAGCGUGGAAGAUUCUUGGACUAAAAAAAACUCGUGGCGGGGGCGUACAGAGCAACGUGGAUCGUCAAAUUUUUUCUGUGGUAUUGUUUGUUUUGUUUUUUGUUGUUGCUAGUUAACCCGUUGGCUGCCACCCAUUUGCUCCCCUUUUUUUUUGUAGCUGUAGGGACCGGGCGCGCUGCUCUGCCCUAUGGGGUGGAGCAGUUGCAAUGCCCUUGCCCGCCGCAAGGCGGUUAGGCAAUGCACCAUUAGGGACUUCUCUUUGUUCGAUGCAGUGAUGGUUACCUGAGGGUGUGCAUUCCCUGUAAAGGUUUCCAUCACUGUGUCAGCCCGGACUUGUCUUCGGACAAGUUCCAUCAAUCGUGGAUCCUUCAGACAACGAUGCGUAGUGAGUAGAAAAAAACAACCUACGGGUUGUAUGGCGUGGCAGCCAACGGGUUAACUAAUUGUGUAUGUGUAUGCAUGUUUGUAGUUAUGUAUGUAU
rnacentral:lncRNA from 1 species